UCCAAUCGAACUCGGAGAUAGCUGGUUCUCCCCGAAAUAGCUUUAGGGCUAGCGUCGGAUAUGUGUAGUGGAGGUAGAGCACUGAAUGGGCUAGGGGGCAUAUCGCUUACCGAACCUUAUCAAACUCCGAAUGCCAUAUACAUUAAGUCCGGCAGUCAGACUACGAAUGAUAAGAUCCGUGGUCAAAAGGGAAACAGCCCAGACCGUCAGCUAAGGUCCCAAAGUGUAAGUUAAGUGGAAAAGGAUGUGGGAUUUCUAAGACAACUAGGAUGUUGGCUUAGAAGCAGCCACUCAUUUAAAGAGUGCGUAAUAGCUCACUAGUCGAGAGAUCCUGCGCCGAAAAUGUACCGGGGCUAAACUUACCACCGAAGCUACGGAUUUGCAAGUAAUUGCAAGUGGUAGGGGAGCGUCGUAAUCGGGCUGAAGUCGUACCGGAAGGAGCGGUGGACUGAUUACGAGUGAGAAUGUUGGCAUUAGUAGCGAGAUGUAGGUGAGAAUCCUACAGGCCGAAUAUCUAAGGUUUCCUCAGGAAGGCUCGUCCGCUGAGGGUUAGUCGGGACCUAAGCCGAGGCCGAAAGGCGUAGGCGAUGGACAAUCGGUUGAUAUUCCGAUACCACUACCAUCGUUAUUAUCGAGGGUGUGACGGAGAAGGAUAGUGUGUGCUAGCGAUUGGAAAUGCUAGUCUAAGCGUUUAGGGAGUUACGGUAGGCAAAUCCGCUGUAACAAUUCUGAGGCGUGAUGGGGAAGGUCAUUAAGACCGAAGUACAUGAUUCCAUGCUUCCAAGAAAAGCAUCUAGAGAGAGAAGUAGUGCCCGUACCGCAAACCGACACAGGUAGAUGAGGAGAGAAUCCUAAGGCCGGCGGAAGAAUUGCAGUUAAGGAACUAGGCAAAUUGACCCCGUAAGUUCGCGAGAAGGGGUGCCUGCGAGAGCAGGCCGCAGAGAAUAGGCCCAAGCAACUGUUUAGCAAAAACACAGGUCUCUGCUAAAGCGUAAGCUGAUGUAUAGGGGCUGACGCCUGCCCGGUGCUGGAAGGUUAAGGGGAACACUUAGCGCAAGCGAAGGUGUGAACUUAAGCCCCAGUAAACGGCGGCCGUAACUAUAACGGUCCUAAGGUAGCGAAAUUCCUUGUCAGGUAAGUUCUGACCCGCACGAAUGGCGUAAUGACUUGGGCACUGUCUCAACUGCAAAUCCGGCGAAGUUGUAGUGCGAGUGAAGAUGCUCGCUACCCGCGAUUGGACGGAAAGACCCCGUAGAGCUUUACUGUAGCUUAGCAUUGAAUUCCGGUAUUGUCUGUACAGGAUAGGUGGGAGACUGGGAAACUAGGGCGUCAGCCUUAGUGGAGUCAACCUUGGGAUACCACCCUGACAGUACUGGGGUUCUAACAGGACGCCAUGAAGCUGGUGACUGGACAUUGUUAGGUGGGCAGUUUGACUGGGGCGGUCGCCUCCUAAAAAGUAACGGAGGCGCCCAAAGGUUCCCUCAGAACGGUCGGAAAUCGUUCGUAGAGUGCAAAGGCAGAAGGGAGCCUGACUGCGAGACCCACAAGUCGAGCAGGGACGAAAGUCGGGCUUAGUGAUCCGGUGGUACCUCGUGGGAGGGCCAUCGCUCAACGGAUAAAAGCUACCUCGGGGAUAACAGGCUGAUCUCCCCCAAGAGUCCACAUCGACGGGGAGGUUUGGCACCUCGAUGUCGGCUCGUCGCAUCCUGGGGCUGAAGCAGGUCCCAAGGGUUUGGCUGUUCGCCAAUUAAAGCGGCACGCGAGCUGGGUUCAGAACGUCGUGAGACAGUUCGGUCCCUAUCCGUCGCGGGCGUAGGAAAUUUGAGAGGAGCUGUCCUUAGUACGAGAGGACCGGGAUGGACUGACCUCUGGUGCACCAGUUGUUCUGCCAAGAGCAUGGCUGGGUAGCUAAGUCGGGAAGGGAUAAACGCUGAAAGCAUCUAAGCGUGAAGCCCCCCUCAAGAUGAGAUUUCCCAUAGCAUAAGCUAGUAAGACCCCUUGAAGAACACAAGGUUGAUAGGUCAGAGGUGGAAGUGCGGUAACGUAUGUAGCUGACUGAUACUAAUAGGUCGAGGGCUUGACCAA
rnacentral:rRNA from 1 species